CAGGAGCAGAGCCCUGAGAAGGAUCUUCUGUAGUUUGCAGAGUCUGUUCCUUUCACAGCAGAAUCUCUUGAAAACUGGGCAGAUGCCAGGCUCUUGUUUUCCAAGAUCCACUCCUUUUAAUAUAAAACAUGCUCAGGGGAGAAUCAGGUGGCGCUGGGACAGCUAUUCAUGGAGCCACAGAAGCAGUACAGACUUGGAGUCUGGAAGCCCUGGGCACAUCUGGUGAAUCCUGACGCCACCAUUUAAAACUCAGUCACAUGCCACCCCUAAUAGCAAAGGAGCCCGGGAAUGCAACCUAGCUGUGUGCCCAGAAGGAGGAAUUUCCAGGUUUGGUGUAUAAACUGCCUGCUUUGUUGGCUCAGAGAGCAUCAUUUUUAUGAUCUUCAAAAGGUCCUGUAACCGUGAGAUGACGAGAUAAAGGCCACGUGCUAAGGACGGCACAGCAGGAAGAGCCUGGUCCCUGAUGGCAAGAUUACAUCAUGAUGCUUCUAUAACAGCGCCGGACAGCUUACCUCCAGAGUUAUCUUACAUGAGAACAACAGCACUUCUAUUUGUUUAAGCCAUUCUAAGUUGGGUUUUCUAUUAGGUACAGCUGAUAUAAUGUUCUCUGUCCAUAUUUAAUUGUGAAGACCAUAUUUUGGUUAUUGAUCUAGAAGAGAUCUUUAGACUUAAAGGGUAUGAACACCUUAUUUAAUGAGUGUUGCCAAAUAUUUCCCAGUUUCUCCUUUCUUUUUAUCUUUCUUGCGUGGUCUGUUUUGAUAUUAAA